rnacentral:rRNA from 1 species
AUGGAGAGGACAAAGGGCUGCAACAUAGCAAUAUGAAGCUAAUCCCAAAAACCUCUUCUCAGUUCAGAUUGGAGUCUGCAACUCGACUCCAUGAAGCUGGAAUCGCUAGUAAUCGUAGAUCUGCAACGCUACGGUGAAUACGUUCCCGGACCUUGCACACACCGCCCGUCAAGCCAUGGAAGCUGGGUGUACCUAAAGUCGGUAACCGUAAGGAGCCGCCUAGGGU